GACAUGCGACAAAUAUGAGUUGUCCUUCCGUAAGAAAAAAACUGACACUAAAAAAAAUAUUCAAAUUCCGUUCUGUUUGAAGUCCACAAUUUUUUUCCCAUUAUUUUUUUGUUGCUUUUUUUUUUUUUUUUUUUUUUUUAGUGCAGUUGGUCUGAAAAAUGCAAGUAAA
rnacentral:ribozyme from 1 species